AGUGUGGCUUUCUUUGCUUCGACACUCAUCCAUCCAAUAUCCUGACCUAAAAAUAUUAUUUUCCAUGUGAUCUUGCAAUUUCGAGUUUUACCACAGAACUAAGUAGCCUUUACUAUAGCUAUGAAAAGGCACACUUCCUAGAGGAACAUUUAGAUCAGAUGUUUUGAUGUAAAAUACUUGUCUUUCGUAAGUAAAAUUAUAGUGCAUUUUAUUUUUCUUAGGAUAGUUAAUUCUGCCAUUAAAUAGAUUGUACUUACUUUGGUUCAAACGGCUGAAAAAAAAAGAAGAGAAUUUAAAAUUUGCUAUUUCUCCUAUAAAGUCACGGAUAAUCCGCUGACCCCGAGGAAGGGCAGAAGUGCUCUGUUUGGCUCUCCUGCUGCAGAGAGCUUUGCAGGGAUUAUUUCUCAUUGCUGAGUGACAGCUUGUUUCUGUCUUUCUCUGUUAGGAUAUUUUGCUCGUGUCCAUGGCAUCAGGCAGCUUAUAAAGGCAUUUCUACAGAAGAUAGAAUGUCAGUGCCAAAUUAUAAACCUGGGGGCUGGGAUGGAUACCGCCUUCUGGACAUUAAAGGUUUGUACAGAUUUUUUUAGGGUCUUCUAUCAGGAUGAGGGUCUUCUCCCAAGGAAAUAUUUUGAAGUUGACUUUCCGGUGAUAGUCACGAGAAAGCUACACAGCAUCAAGUAAGUGUGGCUUUGGCCAGAAGAAAGAGCCUGGUAGAAUUCAGAACCGGCCUUCAGUAGACAGCAGGUCUGAGUGCCAGAGACCUCAUUUUAGGGCCCUGCUCUCCUCACUUGCUUUCUUGCCCCGAGACCCUCAUUCCAGUGUGUCUUGCAGUCUUCAAAAUGAAAAAUACCCUCCCUUGUGACUCUUCUCUCCAUUAAUGUAACUUCUCUGAACACUUAAAAAAUGACCUAUCAUAGUUUAGUAAUCUGAAUUAAAAUUCACAUAAUGUGUAUUUUGUUUACUUCUUUAUCCCAGGGAACAGAAAGGUACCUGGUCCAGAAAAGAUAUGUAGUAAAUAUUUUUUGAAUGAAUGAAUGAAUGGGAAACUGAACUUAAUCAUUUAUUAUAUAUGAGAUAUGUGGGGGCCAUUCUGAGUCGAGGUUUCAAGGAGUUUGCAAAGUUGUAGAUGAUGAGUUUGCUCAUCUUUGCCGAGAGCUUUGCGUGUCAAAUGCUUCUCUUGGAUUGUCUCAUUCAAUCCUCAGAGCAGACUCAUGAAUUAGUGCUAUUAUUAGCCCCUUCUUACAGAUGAGGAAACUGAGGCUCAAAGACGUUAAUUUGCCUAAAGUCACCUGGCUAGGAAGGGGUGGAGCUGAGCUUUAAACCCUGACUUCAAGCCCAAGGUCAAGGUUUCUCAGUACAGUCGUGUGUCCCCUAACAGUAACAGGGAUGCGUUCUGAGAAAUGCAUUGCUAGGUGAUUUCAGUGUCAUGUGAACGUCGUGGAUUACACUUACACAGUCCCAGAUGGUGUAGCCUACUAUACAUCUGGGCUGUAUGGUGCUAAUAUUGAAGGACCACUAGCACGUAUGUGGUCUGUGGUUGACUGAAACGUCAUUAUGUGGUGUGUGACUUAGUUUUAACCUGUACUCCCUCCUUUUAAAAUUAUUUAAAUAAAAUUUUAAUUCUUAUAUUUAAACA
rnacentral:lncRNA from 1 species